GUAGGUGGCAAGCGUUGUCCGGAAUUAUUGGGCGUAAAGCGCGCGCAGGUGGUUCGUUUAAGUCUGAUGUGAAAGACCCCCGGGCUCAACCGGGGAGGGUCAUUGGAAACUGGGGAACUUGAGUGCAGGAGAGGAAAGUGGAAUUCCACGUGUAGCGGUGAAAUGCGUAGAUAUGUGGAGGAACACCAGUGGCGAAGGCGACGUUUCUGGCCUGUAACUGACACUGAGGCGCGAAAGCGUGGGGAGCAAACAGGAUUGGAUACCCUGGUAGCCCACGCCGUAAACGAUGAGUGCUAAGUGUUGGGGGGUUUCCGCCCCUCAGUGCUGCAGCUAACGCAUUAAGCACUCCGCCUGGGGAGUACGGCCGCAAAGACUG
rnacentral:rRNA from 1 species